UAGAUUGUUUUCCAGUAGCCAGUAGACCUC
rnacentral:piRNA from 1 species